UACGAAGGGAGCUAGCGUUGUUCGGAAUCACUGGGCGUAAAGCGCACGUAGGCGGAUGUGUCAGUCAGGGGUGAAAUCCCGGAGCUCAACUUCGGAACUGCCUUUGAUACAGCACGUCUUGAGUCCGGAAGAGGUGGGUGGAAUUCCUAGUGUAGAGGUGAAAUUCGUAGAUAUUAGGAAGAACACCUAUGGCGAAGGCAGCACUCUGGGACGGUACUGACGCUGAGACGCGAAAGCGUGGGGAGCGAACAGG
rnacentral:rRNA from 1 species